UACGUAGGGUGCGAGCGUUGUCCGGAAUUAUUGGGCGUAAAGAGCUCGUAGGCGGUGUGUCACGUCGGCCGUGAAAACCUGCAGCUUAACUGUGGGCGUGCGGUCGAUACGGGCAUCACUGGAGUUCGGCAGGGGAGACUGGAAUUCCUGGUGUAGCGGUGAAAUGCGCAGAUAUCAGGAGGAACACCGGUGGCGAAGGCGGGUCUCUGGGCCGGAACUGACGCUGAGGAGCGAAAGCGUGGGGAGCGAACAGG
rnacentral:rRNA from 1 species